rnacentral:lncRNA from 1 species
UUUGCACUUGGUUUUGAUUGGGGACGAAUGGCUUUGUAUAAAAGCCCGGUGGUUGCUGCCUAAAUCCUCCUUGUUGUUGUGGUUGUUGAGGAUCCCGCCAUUUGAAAUUUGGAUGGUCCCUCCACCCCGGAUUGUAGGAAUUAGAGUAUGGAUCAUGGCGUGGUUGAUUUGGGUUCCCAAAACCCACGGCAUUGGCAUGUCCUUGCAUCGAGCACACGCCACACACACUUGGUCCAUGAAUCUUCAUUCCCUCGGCCAACUGAGAAACAAUAGAAGUAAGGUUAGCUAAUUGGGAUUGAAUCUCGGGCAUAGAACUUACCUUAUUCACUUGUGGCCGUGGGGGGUCCCUUUGUCCAACACCUUCGUAUUGUUGUGCAUUAUG